GCCCUGCUCGGUUUUGCUGGUGUCUUAUCUCCCUACUGCUGGUUUUACCCUGUGUCUCAGCACCCCCUUCCUACCCCACAAGGCAGCCCAACUGAAACCAACAACAACAUCUCUGACUUGACCCAAACCCAGAGCAAGUUUCGGACAUGAGCCCACGGCUUUUUAAUUAGAAUCCCUCACCUGGUGCCUGGACUUAACUGAGGCUCAGGUUCUUUGUGCCUCAGCGCAGAAGGAAUUCAGCGAGAGCCAAAGUGAGAGGCCAGAAGUCGAUUUACUGAGAUGGGAUACUUGCGAGGGAUACAAGCAGGCAAGCAAGGAGGCUCUGCCCCGAGGAUGAGGUGGGGCUAGAUUUUUAUAAUCCAAGGAAAGUGGGGUGGGGAAGAGACCAUCUUCUUCCUUGUUCUUUGAGCAGAGGUCGGGCUGACAUCAUUAGCUCCUCCUUCGUAUCCGAAAAGAGGGUAUUUGACCCUGUGAGGUCGAACAAGGACUGCCCUGGUGCUUAGUCAGAUCAGCCGAAGGGAGGUAACAGAGGCUAAAACAUGUUGAAUCAUCUCCGGUUUCCGUGUCAGGAGGGUCUCCUCCUUUGGAAGGUCGUUUUUCCCUUAAACGCCUCUCCUUGGUCCUAAGGGUCGUUCUCUUGCUGAACUUGAACUGCAGCCUCCUUUUAUCUUUCACGUAAUGACCUGAGGCGUAGCUCGUGCUUUUAUUUCUGGUUUUAUAGUUAAGCAGGGCUGCUUCACUCCAAUCUGUCCUGGUGGCUUUCUUGAAUGAUUAUUAACUUACAGUCAUCUCCCAGAGUUCCCUAGGUUUCCCUCUCUAUCCCCGGUCCCCGCCUGGGACUUGCACAACCCCCUGUGUAACUACCCUCCUCCAUCCCCGUCAGAACCACUGGGGUUUUAGUUCAUGGUAUUUUCCUGUGACGUCACUCUUACACUAAUUACAGUAGAGCUGGGAGAAUGUGACAGUCAAGAAUACAAACUCUGGAUUCAGACCUGGGCUUGAAUCCCAGCCCCGCCAGCAUAGGAUGGGCUGUUUCUCCAUCUGUGAAAAGGCAACAGCAGUCGUUGGGGUUGCGGCCCGAGUGCCGGAGAGUGUUGACCAAAAGCAAUAAAGUAAAAAAAAUGGGUUUAUUCAGGAACAACAAAGAUCACAACUCAGGCCAGGCAAUCUCUGGCGAACCACAGGCAGAGAACCAUCCUUUUAUAAAGGAGAAGGGGAGUUGGGAGGGGCUGUUAUAAACAAAGAGUCCAUUGGCGGAAACGGGGAGCUCAGAGUGUAGUGGCUUUUCAUUGGCUGAGUGGUAACUAACAGUCUCUCAUUGGCUGGGCUGCUGCUGGGUCUUCCUUCCUCCUGCUGGGUAGUGAAGUAGUAACCUUUCUGUUGGAGACGCCAAGGUACAGUUCUUCCUGCCGUUGACUAGGCGUGGUAGGUGUGAGAGCUCCCCCUUCUGGCCUCCCAGCUCUAUUUUAUUUCAUUCAAGUAGAGUUGAUUUCCAAUGUUGUGUUAAUUUCUGCUGUACAGCGAAGUGAUUCAGUUAUACAUGUAUAUAUCUGCUUUUUAUAUACUUUUCCAUUAUGGUUUAUCACAGGAUGUUGAAUAGCUCCCCGUGCUACACAUAGGAUUUGUGGUUUAUCCAUUCUCUAUAUAAUAGUUUGCAUCUGCUAAUCCCAACCUCCCAAUCCAUCCCUCCCCAACCCACCUCCCCCUUGGCAACCACAAGUCUCUUCUCUAUGGCUAUGCUGAUUCCAUUUAAUUAAUUAAUUUAUUUAUUUGUUUUUGGCCCCAUCCACCCAUGGCAUGUGAAAGUUCCAAGGCCAGGGAUCGAACCCACACCAUAGCAGUGACCCAAGCCGCUGCAGUGACAACACUGGAUCCGUAACCACUGCUCCACAAGGGAAUGCCCCUAACUCCAUUUCAUUAUUUUUUUAUUUUUUUCUUUGCUUUUUAGGGCCACACCCACGGCAUAUGGAGGUUCCCAGGCUAGGGGUCAAAUGGGAGCUAUCGCUGCCGGCCUACACCACAGCCACAGCAACAUCAGAUCCGAGCCAAGUCUGCGACCUACACCACAGCUCAUGGCCACACUGGAUCCUUAACCCACUGAGUGAGGCCAGGGAUCAAACCUGCGUCCUCACGGAUCCCAGUUAGAUUCAUUAACCACUGAGCUGUGACGGGAAUGCCCCCUAACUCCAUUUUAAACAAAUUUUCUGUUUAUUCGUUUUCCCAAGGGCGUGAUAGAUUCAGGCACUGAGAACACCGCUUCGUUUGGAAUGACUGCAUGUUGCAGGCAUUACACUGGCUUUCAGUAAAAUUAAUGUUCAAUAGGAUGCAAGUACAGUCAUAGAUUAGCUUAAUGAUACAUUAUCAUUCCGGCCCCUGGUGAUGCGCCUCACGUUCUUACAGGCUCGGUUCUGCAUUGAGAAGUUGCGUGUCCGUCCUUUACCUGGCAUUUCUAGGAAAGAGGUAGCAAAGAGCGUUCAGCUUGUCCAUUCUCGCAUCGUCCAGCCUCUUGACCUUUAAGUGCUGAUGGCAGGAUGAUAAGGACGCUCUCCGUGUCUUGCUGCCUCUUCCCCAGCACAUCCAGAGCCUGCAUGUACCUGCCUCCAAUUCUCCUCCUAAGUCACAGGCCAUCUUUGGAGUCUGGUGGAAUCCGGCUCGGUCACAUACCUACCAGCUCUGACUCAUUUGUGCCAGUUCUUCUCCCUUAUCUGACUGAUGCCCUCAGGGCCCGAUAUGACUUUGGAAUUCCUUUUUUUUUUUUUGUCUUUUUGGGGCUGACCCAUGGCACAUGGAAGUUUCCAGGCCAGGGGCUGAAUUGGAGCUGCAGCUAUAACCACGGCAACACGGGGUCUGAGCAGUGCUGGAUCCUCAACCCGCCCGCUGAGGGAGGCCAGGGACCACACGUGCAUCCUCGUGGACCUAGUUGGGUUCGUUCCCACUGAGCCACCACGGGAACUCGUGGAAUUCCUAUUAUUUUUGAGUGAUAAUGCAGUCUGUCGCUACCCUGUGGGAAGGAUUGGGGCAGCAUCCUGGGGACAGAGAGUGCACUAGAGCGCCUCUCACUGGGUGGACAGAGACUCACAGUAGCCUCCCUUCUGGUCAGAACAGCUUUUGGAGCCAAAUGAGCCCUGAAAAUCUGAGUUUUCAGAGCUUUUUGCGUUUCCGAAUUGAGGGUGGGGUCUUACAUGGGGGGGGUUGGCUUUGACCCCCACUCCAGCAAGGACAAGUGGAGAUUUAUAGCCAAGGAACAACAACAGCACAAAGAACCAAAAAAAAAAAAAAAAA
rnacentral:lncRNA from 1 species